UUGAUUUAUCUUAAAUUGUCAGGAAUACUUCACUGAUGGGAUUUCCAAUCUGGAGUCUUAUUCUAGGCUUCUGUAGUCAGGUUCUACUGUGUGUCAACUCCUCAGCUAACCUCUUCAUCUACAGUUGUGUUGGAGGACAGUUCAGGCAAAUUAUGUGCAAAUAUCUAAGCUGUGGAAAAGCUGACUUUUGCAAAUGCCCACAGGCGACAGAGG